CCUCGACAUCUUCCACAACUAAAGUGACUACAAUUUCAACUACAAGAUUUGUGCCCGUGUAUCUAACAGACCUGGUGUUCCGUUCUUUUGACAUAUAUAUUGUUGAACUCAACGAUUCAAACUCUCAGGCUUUCAAGACAAGGGCUCAGCUUGUCAUAGCACAGCUUGACCCAAUCUACAGAGCCAGAUAUCCUUCCUUCAUCAGAGUGAUUGUCAUAAGUUUCAGCCCAGGGUCAAUCAUCACAACAACACAACUAGUUUUCAACUCCACGGAAACUGUCCCAUCAGUUGGAGAGAUUUCAAACACCCUCUUGACAGCAGUAGGAACAGGAGUUGUCAAUCCACUGAACAUAAUUCCUUCGUCAGUUUCAGUCAAUGGUUCAGUUAUUGCUACGACUGUAGCUGCUUUAACUACAGUGUCAAGUGGAUUAAAAAUUGAAUUCAGUCUGCUCAAAACAACAUGGCUCAUUAUUAUGGCAAAAAUAUUAAGGCUUUUCCUAUAGAUCCUUUAACAAUGAAUCAACCAAGGAUGCAAUUUCAGCAAAGCAUGCUCUAAUGAAUUAUACUAGCAAAUUAUAUUAUUUACGUAUGUGUAUUAUGCAUUAUUUACUGUUGUAGCAAAAUCUUAAAAUAUGACAAUGGCUAUAUAAAUAGAAGCCUAAAAUUGCAUUGAUUUUCAAGAGCACAAUUUGUAAAGAGAAAAAAUAUUAUAUAUUUAUCAGAGGUUGUUGAGAUUUAUCCUAUUUUGAUAUUGUUCCUCACAGUAUUUUUAUAUGUAAUACUUUUGUUCAGCUGUCUGCAGGUUAAAGACUCUUUAUAGUUCUAUUUUGUCUAGUAUAUGCCAACACUGCAAUAUCUCAUAUCUUUUAAUAAUCAAAUAAACAUAUUUAUUGAGUUCAUAUAAUCCAAAAUUGUUUUAUAUAAAACCACCAAUUGUGUGAAAUGAGAAAGAGAUGAAAAUGAAGAGAUCAUAAAAAUAUGAAGGAUUUAAACACAUACUUUUGUA